rnacentral:rRNA from 1 species
GAGUUUGAUCCUGGCUCAGGAUUAACGCUGGCGGCAUGCCUAAUACAUGCAAGUCGAACGGAGUAGCAAUACUUAGUGGCGAACGGGUGAGUAACACGUAUCUAAUCUACCAUUUAAUGGGGAAUAACUGUUGGAAACGACAGCUAAUACCGCAUAAUAUUGCUGGAUAAUUUCCAGUAAUGAAAGGAGCUUUCAAGCUCCGCUGAUUGAUGAGGAUGCGGCGCAUUAGCUAGUUGGUAGGGUAAUGGCCUACCAAGGCAAUGAUGCGUAGCCGAUCUGAGAGGAUGAACGGCCACAUUGGGACUGAGACACGGCCCAAACUUCUACGGAAGGCAGCAGUAGGGAAUUUUUCACAAUGGGCGAAAGCCUGAUGGAGCAAUGCCGCGUGACUGAUGAAGGUCUUCGGAUUGUAAAGGUCUGUUGUAAGGGAAGAAAUGGUAAAACAGGAAAUGGUUUUAUCUAUGACGGUACCUUACCAGA